AACGAACGCUGGCGGCAUGCCUAACACAUGCAAGUCGAACGAGACCUUCGGGUCUAGUGGCGCACGGGUGCGUAACGCGUGGGAACCUGCCCUUAGGUUCGGAAUAACUCCCCGAAAGGGGUGCUAAUACCGGAUAAUGUCUUCGGACCAAAGAUUUAUCGCUUUGGAUGGGCCCGCGUUGGAUUAGCUAGUUGGUAGGGUAAAAGCCUACCAAGGCGACGAUCCAUAGCUGGUCUGAGAGGAUGAUCAGCCACACUGGGACUGAGACACGGCCCAGACUCCUACGGGAGGCAGCAGUGGGGAAUAUUGGACAAUGGGCGAAAGCCUGAUCCAGCAAUGCCGCGUGAGUGAUGAAGGCCUUAGGGUUGUAAAGCUCUUUUACCCGGGAUGAUAAUGACAGUACCGGGAGAAUAAGCUCCGGCUAACUCCGUG
rnacentral:rRNA from 1 species